AUGGGAUCAGUGCUCUUUGCAUAACUUGUGAGAUUUCAAAUUUUAAGUCUGCUUCGAAUAUUAUGAACUUAAUUUACAACUCGAUUGAUUGUAGUAUGAGUAUAAAAACAUUUUCUAUGGAUUAAAGACAAUCAAGAUGGUUGACUGAAAUAUCUCUUGAUUCAUAGCCAAAUUGAAAUUGCCAUUAUUUAAUGCUUUCAUGCAACUACUUCAUCGGUAAGUCGAGGGAGACUCAACCUGCUUUCUGUCAUUUUAUAUACUCAAUUUUCUCAUCCUCUACUGCAGCCCUAUUCGUUAACCGAAAAACUGUAUUAGCUAAGUGAACAAGGAUUUGAAUAGUAGAAGGAGCCAGACCCUUCUGUCUCCUAAAAGCUUUUAAAGUGCGCUC
rnacentral:lncRNA from 1 species